CUUUUUUUUAAGAAAGCCCAAAAGCAAAGCGUCCCUUCCUCCAGGUAUGUAUAUAAGUUACUGUACUGUGUGGGAGGGUCACGAUCUCACUAGGUGCAGAAGAUUCCCCAGGAUUAACCCCUCCUCUCCCUUCCCCUUCUGCAACUUGUUGAGGAUUUUAUACACACCACACGCGCGCGCACACACACACGGGCGCGCACACGCGCGCACACGCACGCACACACACACACACACACACACACGCACACGCACACACACACACACACACGCACGGAUGGGAGAGCAAAGAGAAAGCGAGCUCCGAGGAGUCCGGCUGCCCCCCGACGCCGUUUUGAUUGGAUGGUCUUUUCAUGUAGAGGGGACGUCUCAAGUCGAAGUCACGAUUUCUCCUCAGUUUGGAACCAUCUGUGACUGGAGCCAUGACGCAGCCAGAGCACAUUACUCACUUUUACAGUCACGACUUGGAAAUCCGUGCAGUUUCCAACCAAAAUUACACCGCCACCAUUGAAUUAUUUAAUAGGAUCCAGUUAAGGAUUAGAGCCACCGCAUGCAAUCUCGGCCAGGAUGCGCUCUUAACCCCCAAAUAAAUGUGCUGUGCUACCCC